rnacentral:tRNA from 1 species
GCCAGUAUGGUGGAUAUGACCCUCGGCUUGUAACCGAGUGGGUUCGGGUUCGAAUCCCGAAUAAGGUA